UACGUAGGGUGCGAGCGUUGUCCGGAAUUACUGGGCGUAAAGAGCUCGUAGGUGGUUUGUCGCGUUGUCAGUGAAAACUCACAACUCAAUUGUGGGCGUGCGGGCGAUACGGGCAGACUGGAGUACUGCAGGGGAGACUGGAAUUCCUGGUGUAGCGGUGGAAUGCGCAGAUAUCAGGAGGAACACCGGUGGCGAAGGCGGGUCUCUGGGCAGUAACUGACGCUGAGGAGCGAAAGCGUGGGGAGCGAACAGG
rnacentral:rRNA from 1 species